GUUCUGCAAGCACGCGACACGCUGAAUUUCAGAGGUUCAAUAGACUCAAGAUACAAAACUGUUCACCGAGUUGAGCUUCUAUAACCAUCUUUUCGUCGUCUCUGCAAGCAACAUUACUGCACAGCAUCUACGGCUAUUCAUGGCGAUGUUUUGCACAUCCUGUUGGCCCAGGAUACACUGUUGUCUCAGGCAUUGAAAACCCCAUUUCAGCCCUGCCUGGGUCACGUUGCGGCAGAAGUCCACCCUCAUUUCUGUGAGAUUGUGUCCAGGGUCCACCACAGCCUGCAGGAUGGAGUCUGUCAUCCGGGAGCAGUUC